rnacentral:rRNA from 1 species
UGGGGAAUAUUGGACAAUGGGGGCAACCCUGAUCCAGCCAUGCCGCGUGUGUGAAGAAGGCCUUUUGGUUGUAAAGCACUUUAAGCAGUGAAGAAGACUCCAUGGUUAAUACCCAUGGACGAUGACAUUAGCUGCAGAAUAAGCACCGGCUAACUCUGUGCCAGCAGCCGCGGUAAUACAGAGGGUGCAAGCGUUAAUCGGAAUUACUGGGCGUAAAGCGAGCGUAGGUGGCUUGAUAAGUCAGAUGUGAAAGCCCCGGGCUUAACCUGGGAACGGCAUCUGAUACUGUUAGGCUAGAGUAGGUGAGAGGAAGGUAGAAUUCCAGGUGUAGCGGUGAAAUGCGUAGAGAUCUGGAGGAAUACCGAGGGCGAAGGCAGCCUUCUGGCAUCAUACUGACACUGAGGUUCGAAAGCGUGGGUAGCAAACA